UGCCAGCAGCCGCGGUAAUACGGAGGGUGCAAGCGUUACUCGGAAUCACUGGGCGUAAAGCGCAUGUAGGCGGUCUUGUAAGUUGGGUGUGAAAGCCUAUGGCUCAACCAUAGAACUGCACCCAAAACUACUAGACUAGAGUCUGGGAGAGGAAAAUGGAAUUAGUUGUGUAGGGGUAAAAUCCGUAGAGAUAACUAGGAAUACCAAAAGCGAAGGCAAUUUUCUGGAACAGUACUGACGCUCAGAUGCGAAAGCGUGGGUAGCAAACAGGAUUAGAUACCCUGGUAGUCCACGCCCUAAACGAUGAAUGUUAGUCGUCGGGAGGCUCGUCCUUUCGGUGAUGCAGUUAACACAUUAAACAUUCCGCCUGGGGAGUACGGUCGCAAGAUUAAAACUCAAAGGAAUUGACGG
rnacentral:rRNA from 1 species